ensembl:lncRNA
CUUCCGGCUCUUCCUGCUCCUUUCCCAACUAGUCUUGAGUGUGGUAGCGUACACCUGCUCCCUUCUGGCUUUGGGGAAGGGGAUGAGACUGCGCUCCCGAACCGGAGGCAUACUGGGCCGCUGAGGCAUAGGAAUGGUCACAAGGUUUAAGCCCUGAAUUAAGUUUUCCCCCUUAGACGCCUCAAGCCCUCCAGCCCAAGAUGUAGCCCUCGAAUAGUCUAGCUGCGGGGUUCCGCGUUCAUGGUUUAAGGGAAAGUUAUCCAAACGGAAGUCCACCCCCGAAAACCAAUGAAGAAAGCCGAAUAGGAUUAUGAGAUGCGGGAGGGGGUGCCCCGCAGCUCUAAAAGCUCACCUCCUUACGACCCUGCCAAGAAUGUGGGUUGAGAAUUCAUCUAAGAACGCUGUGAAACAUGAGGCACACACAGGAGACCCCCUUUUCUAGCAGGCCAAUUCGGAUGACCCCCACCCCGCAUCAUUAUUGAGCACAGGUGUUGAACCCUUCACCUGUGUGUGUGUGCAGCGAAAGGGUCUUGACUUGAUGGGGCUGUCUGAGUGGUCCUCAACUGACAUGCAAUCCAUACUCUUUCAUUCAUAGAUACAGCUUUCCCUAUGGGAUUUUUGGAGGGGGAAAAUGACAUUAAAAAUUCUUCAGGGCAGGGGCAGUGAGAUGGCUCAGUGGAUGGAGAGAGCCAGACCUAGGGAGAGAGCGAAGAUCCUGGGUUCAAAUCUGGCCUCAGACUCUUUCUAGGGUGUGAUCUUGGGCAAGACACCACCCCAAGUGUGUAGGCUUUACCACUCUUUUGCCUUGGAACCAAUACACAGCAUCAAUUCUAAGACAGAAGGGGUUUCCCUGGACAGCAGAAGAAGGAAGGACAUAUUUGGAAAUGGAAUAAAAGCAAAAGGUCUCUACCCAUCCAUGCCUGUUUAUCAAGAGGGACUCAUCUAUGUCCUCUUGCAAUUCCACCCUAUUGGUUCCGUCCAAUGUGCUGUGAUGGGAAUAUGGGGGUGCUGGAAGGGAGGAAGGAGAGAAGGAAAGAGGAAAGGAGGAAAGCAGAGAGGAAGAAGAUCAAGGCAAGAGCAUCAUCCAGUGAGACAAGAAGCAAGCAUCCUGGUUCAUCAGGGUUUGAUGCCUCAAGAGGCUCCUUUCCCAUUAAAACUUGACUUGGUAACUUGGGACUCUGACUUAUUCCUAUCUAUGUGGGAUUCUAGGGAAAUGCUCUCAAAAGCAGUGUGGCCACGUAGAUAGGGCAUAGAGUCACAAGUCAGUGUUCAAACCCCUCUUCAGUGCUUCUGAGCUUUGAAAUUCCAGGCAAACCCCCAGCUUCUCUGCCCAUCAGUGUCUUCAUUUGUAAAAUCAGGGAAUUGGGCUCAAUAACUUUGAAGGUUCUUCCCAGCUGUGACUCUGUUAGCACACCUUGUCACUGAAACCUUCUUCUGAUGCCAAAUCGAAUAUAUUCUGAGCCCAGAACUCAUGAUGUAAGAUCAGGAGAUGCUCAUACUAUUUGCAAUGUCAGACAUCUUUGAGAGGAAAGUUUGUUUUUCUGACUACCACUUAGAUGAUUUUUAAAUUAAUGUAAAUUUGGGAAAUUCAAAAUUUGUUCAAAAUUUUUACUUGGAG